GGCAGAUGCUGUGACUACUAUAAACACAUGGAAUGGGGGAAGGGAAGUUUCCCAAAAGAAGGACAAUGGGCGAGCAAAACCCACGCAAGCAUCUCAGCAAGGAAUCCAGCAGUCAUGGUAUUCAUACAUCUUGAGAGCUAGCUUCAGAAAAGCACAUACAGAAAACCAAGCCACAGUCACAGGCAAAUCUGUGUGCAGCUGAGGCCGCCCAAAGAGGGCCAUGGAGCGGCAGCUUCAGCAUCGUGUGGCCACCUGCUCUCACACAUCUGCAUUUGGCUGCACAGCAGGACCUUGCAACUGAGUUUAGGGGCCAGAAAUGGGGGAGGCAGAGUUUCCAAGUGGCCAACCCACUGUUAUCUUUUCAAUAAAAUUGGGCG
rnacentral:lncRNA from 1 species